AGGGGUAUAGUUUAAUGGCAAAACGAAGGUCUCCAAAACCUUUGAUGCGGGUUCGAUUCCUGCUACCCCUGCCA
rnacentral:tRNA from 2 species